UAUUUUCUUAAAUAUAACCCAACUGCAUUUUAAUCUGGUUUGGGCGGCAAUCGGGAGUGUAUAUUUGACACCUCUGUCCUACAGUGUCAGUCCUUCAGAACCUGAAUGCUAAAGGUCAUGAAACAGGCCUAUGUAUUCUAGAAGUCCAAAAACGAAACUAUAAUUAAUACCCAAUCAAUCUCUUCACUGAAGAAUGGUGAGGCUAAUGGCGUACAAGGCAAUUAGACAAUCGCUUGGUGUUUGAUAGUUACUAUUAGUAGUUUAAGGUUUACACAGAUAUAUUAGGCAGUUAACAGUUUACUGAGAAAAAAGAUGAAGACUGACUUACUGUGACGAUUCCCACCAAGCAAAUAAGGCUAGAGGCUUAAAGAUGUUAACAAUCUAUAGGCUAAUAUGGAAAUGUGGGACUGUAAUAUCUGAUUAUAAUUACUGUAUCUGAGGGACUGCCUCUCCCCGGUCCCAUCAGGUCUGGCAGGAGGGUCAUGUUCCUGUUGGCCAAGGAGCUUCGUUUGGCUGGAGCCAGGAGGAGAGUCUUCUCUGCUGUGGCAUCCGCCCUCUGGAACAUCAUCCCCCACCCCCACCCCCAGGUGAGACUGGUCCUUAAAACCUGGUUUUGCCAUCAGGUCCGGGGAUUCGAUGGAAGUGUAGAGCCCGGUAAAAGUCUGUAUUGUGUGUAAAACUAAAAUGCACUCUCCCCUGUCUUUUUGUUAUUAUAGUUUUUAACUGUUUUAACGGUAUUUUAAUGGUUUUAAUUAUGUUGAUUGCUUGGCUUAGUGUUUUAAUUGUGUGCAUCACUCAGAGUCAUAAACGUGAGAUGGGCGGCUCUAUAAAUUGAAUAAAUAAAUGAAUAAUGGUAGUCUGCCCUAGAUUGGCUAUAGGACCAGAGGCAUCAAGGAUGGGGGUGAGGAUGUCAAAAUGUUAUACUGACAUGAUGCAGGCUUUGCCCCUUCUGUCUGUGCCUUGUGACUUCACGUGCAUGUGCAAAAGGGGGGAGGGAGCGUGUAUUGCAGCAGCACAAGGCUGCUUUUGUCAUUUUGAUGAAAUUGCUAGAACCUGUGGGCACCUCUCUUUUGGACAAAUAGCAAGGCAAGUGGAUAAAGCAAGGGCAGGGUGGGGGUGGUUUGUUGAAGUUGAUUUAGUGAGAAAAACGUACAAAAAUGACAUUCAGAGAAGAAGUUCUUAGUUUCUGGGAAAGAAAGUUACCUUUCCCAUCCACUAUCUUGUAUAUGAUGGAAGUUGGUUCUCUUCCAACUAGCUGGGACCAUUUUUCUAUUUUUCUUGGGGAAUUUGGCAAGAGGGAACAAAAUGAAGUCCUCACCUCAGGAUUUGGGAAGCUGAUUAUUAAAUUGUCAAAUAGGAAGGAUAAGGAGAUUCUUGAGCCCAAUGAGUAGUCAGACAGGAUCUGGUCAAUGAUCAUCCUAAGCAGAGGACUUUUCUGAAGUGCUUUGAUUUGGCAGAAGCAGCAGCAGCAGCAGCAGCAGCAGCAGCAGCAGCAGCAGCAGCAAGAUAUGAUAGACUCUGACCACUGGAAUUAGCAAUCAUACCAACGUCUGAAGAUUUAGUCUGUACUUUGAUAUUCAAAAGACACGCAGUAUAAAAGUCUUUGCUUAAAUAGGAAGUAGCCGAGAUCUUACUUGGUCACCCUCUACUCUAGCCGGGAGGUCAUGGUAAGGGUUCUCCAAAGGAACCCUGCUUCCUACCAGCCCUUUUCCAGCACAGAAGGGUGCCAGCAAGUGAACUUUCUGCUGUGGGAUUUCCGGUCUCAUGGCAUUAACCAGUACUGGAAGGAGAUAUGCAUCCUCCGAACCAAUUAAGGGUACAAAGACAGACAACAUGAACAUAUCAAACAAUUCCAUCAACACAGAAUACUCUGAAUAUCUAACAAGUCAUCGGGGGGACUCAUUCAAAAGAUGUUAUGCAGCUAUUCCAAUGGAUUUUCUGUAGUUAAGAUGGAAGAAAUUCUGGGAAAACCUGGCUAAUAAAAAGAAGAAAGUAGCAUCUGGACUCCUGUAAAAUUCUGUGAACUGCACCAGCAAUUGUUUCCUCAAUACAAACAUCUAGCUUGUAGUCACAUUGUGCAAAAAGGUAGAAAUAUGGGCAGAAUAGUGUGAUUUUCCCUCCAUUUUGCUCUUUAAAACACGGGUGUGGCACACAUGAGGCCCCUGGACACUCUUAUUGCUUCCUGGGGACCUCCCAGGUACUCCAUCUAUUUUUUCCCAACAUCAACAGUCAUUGGCUCAGUUGGGGGAGAGAACCAGAAAACACUAGCCAGAUUUCUGGGAAGGAGAAUGAGGUAGGGAUAUGCAGAAAACAUUAAGUGUUUCUGUUUCAAACUGGAAACAUCACGUUUCAGAAGCUUUGCUGAGCUAUUCCAGGAAGGCUGCAGUUUGGCAGAACUGAAUCCUGGAGCAUUUCAGUUGUUCUGGGUCUCAGUGAAAACAAAAAACAUCUGGAGGUCUAGCUGGCAUGCCUCUCUCCUCUUCUCUUGGCAUGGCUUAUGUGCCAGCCAUCUCAGUGCCUUCCAGUGCCAAAGACAUUGGUGGUGGCUAAGGGGAAGCAGGGAAAGAAGGGCCUUCAUAAAAUCAGAAGGGGAAUGGGUGAGUUUGAUAGUGGGCCACCAAUAUCCUUGGCUUGUUCGUGCUCUCCCCCACCCCGCUCAAAACACUUCUGUCCAGAAUAUAUGUUUUCUUACAUGCCAAAACCAAAUACACAUUUCAGUGCAAACAUAAACCACUCCACAAUUAGCUGUUCCAUGCAUGGAACAGUUUCUGCACAUGACAUUCUGCACAUCCUAGAAUGAAGUCUGUAAAAAGGAAGCAACGAUAUUCAACAGGAUUGCUGAAUGAAAGUUAAUGGUUUCUCCUUCCCUGCCAUCCAGCCUACUCAGAAAGUUUUCCAUAGCCAGACUUCUUCAUUGGUGCAGUCUACAAAUAUUGCAAAUGAUAUUUCACAGUAACUUUUCUGUGAAUGGGAUGAAAGAAAUGUUAUUUCUCCACCAGCAACUCUACUUCAAAAUGCUGAGUUAGGUCUUUUAGAGGAGGAAAGCCUCACUGGGAGAGAGGGAUAUCUAUGCAUCUAUAUUUAUGUCUAGGACCUCUGGGCAUGAAAAUUUUGCCCAUCUUUGCCUUAAAAUGAUUGGGAUUAUAUUGAUAGAACACUCUUCAAAAGUUGGGAAUAAUUUGUUAAGAGAAAAAUGCAAUACAAUUCCUACUAGCUAUAAUAGUAGCUGCUUUCUUCAAUCUCUCUAAUAUUAAUGGUCAUUAUAAGCAGAGGUUGAAAAAAAAUUCUUUGAGGCUGCUACACCUCAAAGAGUAUUUAUUUUGAAUUUCAACAUGUAGUGGGAAGGUCCUUUUUUCUAUGGCAGAGACAGGGAAUCCUAUGGUGGGUAUCUCUCCCUGUCUCUGCCAUAGAAAAAAGGACCUUCACACCCUGCCCUGCCACUGCACAGGAAGGGCUUCAGAAGUUUUGAAUGUGUUUCCAGUGGGAGGAGGUAUCUCCUUUUCUAUGUCCUCCUCAACUUUUGCAGGUUUUGAGGACAGGAGGAAAAAUUACGUGUUUUAUGCUUUGUUGAUGGUACGGGGACAACUAGAUACAGCCCAAGUUUCCUCUUACUCUCUUUAACUCAGUUUCCAGGAACUGCUUUCAGCUGGACAUUAUUUUGUUGUUGGAUAAUUCAUACAUAUUAUAAUUAUGCAAACUACACAAGUACAAAAUUUCAAUGAAAAAAAGAAAUCUAUUAAUUAAUGUUUCAAUAUUUAUAUUAUGCAAGUUAUCAAUUCAACUGAAUGUGUUGUUGAAAAUAUCAUUUUAACAUAGGCAAUUACUCAUAUGCUUUUUAUCCUUUUUUGAAUAAAAUGUCCAUUUGGAUCAUCUUGAUUUCCAUUACUGUACUUAUUCUUCUGUCUGAAUUUUUAAAAGGAUGGAUGGUGUUUUUCAUUUGAUGCAACUAAAUUGUUACUCUGCACCACUGCCAAGUAUUCAGCUGUCUCCCUUUUCAUUUGCAAACUCUUUAAUCUAAGCUGCACACUGAAUCAGUUUUGAUUAGCUUCUAUUACUUGUUGACCUUACUGUGAAACAUAUUUCUAUUAUCUGAAUUGUGAUUCUUUCAGUUGAACAAAUGGAUCAUGUGAUCUUAUUUCUAAAUUCAUUUUAAGACAAACAUUUAAAUAAUUCUCAUUAAGUAAAUGUACUUUGAUAUUGUAAUGAAGUAACCUUUGAAACCAUUUCUGAACAUUGUAAUAGUAGUUAUUUAUUUUAACAACAAGGAUCGGUCCCCACAUUCCCGUCUUCCUUAACCAAUUUGGUCAAUGAAAUGCAUAUUGCACGAUGUGGUAUUUAUCUGACAUAUUUGGCAGCACUCUAAAUGGACAGUGUUCCUUCAGCCUCACUUUCUAAAGACAUUUCUUCAAGAUCUGCAUAUAAAAAAGGCAGACAUUACUUCACACUGAAAUAAUUUAUGAUGGUGAGAGAAGUAGGAGAGCAGAAAAAAUGUGGGAACAUUGAAAGGAAUAAAGUAAUAAAGGUCUGAGAAGCGCUGGGGUGGUUUGGUAGCCUGAGGAUGCUCUCUCCAUCUUUUGAGUUUGCAUUGUAGUUUUAACUUUUUAGCUUAAUUUUAAUCUUUUAUAGUUUUUAAUCUGUAUAUUUUUUCUAAGAUUUUAUAGUUUUUUACAUCUAAUGCACCUAGAGUCACAUGUACAGUGAGAUGGGUGGCAUAUAUAAAUCUGAUAAACAAACAAACAAACAUCUACAUAAACUACCACAAAGGAUUAUUUGAAACAAAAAUGUCUCCAUGCUACAACCUCCUGAGAUCACAGAAUGGCCUCCAACCUUGGAGGGAAAAUCCACUACUGUAUUACCCUUCAGAGUUUCCUCUAUGGCUGAUGCUUUCAAGUCAGAAAAUCCCAACUUUGGAAAGCUACAAUAUGAGCUGACAGAUCAUCUUCAGCGUCCUCAGCCCUAUUUAGAUCUGGCAUCUGCAUGUGGUGCCCAAGGGUGCCAAUAUACUUAGUCACUUCUCCUUUGGCUUCCCAGCCCUGGGUUUUUACAUUAAAAGCAAACAUUUUAAUUUAAAAAAAAAGGAAUAUAGAAAUGGACAGCUGUACCUGUAUUUUGUUUAGAAAUGUGCCCAUCUCCCAAAAAAAGAAAUAAGCAAGAAUAGUAAGGAGCAUCCUAGGGCAUGGGUGUAGGAUGCUAGAGGAGUUAGUAGUUAGUACUCUGAUAAAUUGGUUCACUCUAAUUGGGUAUAUCCCAAAUAGCAACCAUUUGUGAAUGGGCAACCUACUCCAGCAGGAUGACCAUAUAUUCUCAAAUUAUUAAAUGGCUUCCAAGACCCAAAAGGCUGGGGUUCCUGAUUUCAACCACUGAGAAUGUUCUCAAUAUAUUUUCCUUCACUGGAUGCAUAGGGAGGGAAAUAUUAAAUUUUUUUUUAAAAAAAUCAGAUAAAUUACACAAAAAAGCUUUCCAACAAUCUUGUUUCUGGCUUACCAGUCUGCAACCAACCAGGAUUUGAGGCUUGGUAGAAUUUUGAAUUAAACAAGAGUUCUUCCUCAACUCCUUGCAGUAUGCUCAUCAGACUGAUUCUGUCUUUCAGAGCUGUGGGCUAAACUUGUACCUUUUUAAUUUCUUUAGUUACUGUGCUAUGUGUGAUAGCAGACAUAUAAAGAACGAUUCAGUUCUAAUGCAACAAUUUUAAUUCAUCUUUACUUUCUCUAUGUGGAACAGUGUUUCUCAACUUCAGCAACUUUUAAGAUGUGUGGACUGCUGUCUGGGGAAUUCUGGGAGUUGAA